UCGUGUAUGGUCUAACGGCUAUGAUACCACUCUCUCAUCCGUUGAGUUCCAGUGGGGACCUGGGUUCGACUCCCAGUACGCGAA